GGUUUGAUCAUGGCUCAGAUUGAACGCUGGCGGGAUGCUUUACACAUGCAAGUCGACCGGCAGCACGGACUUCGGUCUGGUGGCGAGUGGCGAACGGGUGAGUAAUGUAUCGGAACGUGCCUAGUAGCGGGGGAUAACUACGCGAAAGCGUAGCUAAUACCGCAUACGCCCUUCGGGAAAGCGGGGGACCUUCGGGCCUCGCACUAUUAGAGCGGCCGAUAUCGGAUUAGCGAGCGGUGGGGCAACGGCUCACCAAGGCGACGAUCCGUAGCUGGUUUGAGAGGACGACCAGCCACACUGGGACUGAGACACGGCCCAGACUCCUACGGGAGGCAGCAGUGGGGAAUUUUGGACAAUGGGGGAAACCCUGAUCCAGCCAUCCCGCGUGUGCGAUGAAGGCCUUCGGGUUGUAAAGCACUUUGGCAGGAAAGAAACGUCACGGGAUAAUACCCCGUGCAACUGACGGUACCUGCAGAAUAAGCACCGGCUAACUACGUGCCAGCAGCCGCGGUAAUACGUAGGGUGCAAGCGUUAAUCGGAAUUACGGGCGUAAAGCGUGCGCAGGCGGUUCGAAAGAAAGAUGAAAUCCCAGAGCUUAACUUUGGAACUGCAUUUUUAACUACCGAGCUAGAGUGUGUCAUCAGAGGAGGUGGAAUUCCGCGUGUAGCAUGCUGAAAUGCGUAGAUAUGCGGAGGAACACCGACAUGCAGUUGCAGCCUCCUGGGAUAACACUGACGCUCAUGCACGAAAGCGUGGGGAGCAAACAGGAUUAGAUACCCUGGUAGUCCACGCCCUAAACGAUGUCAACUAGCUGUUGGGGCCUUCGGGCCUUGGUAGCGCAGCUAACGCGUGAAGUUGACCGCCUGGGGAGUACGGCCGCAAGAUUAAAACUCAAAGGAAUUGACGGGGACCCGCACAAGCGGUGGAUGAUGUGGAUUAAUUCGAUGCAACGCGAAAACCUUACCUACCCUUGACAUGUCUGCCUGAAGAGAUUUGGGAGUGUUCGCAAGAGAACCGGAACACAGGUGCUUUUCGCAUGGUUGUCGUCAGCUCGUGUCGUGAGAUGUUGGGUUAAGUCCCGCAACGAGCGCAACCCUUGUCAUUAGUUGCUACGAAAGGGCACUCUAUCGAGACUGCCGGUGACAAACCGGAGAAGGUGGGGAUGACGUCAAGUCCUCAUGGCCCUUAUGGGUAGGGCUUCAGCAUCGUCAUACAAUGGUCGGGACAGAGGGUCGCCAACCCGCGAGGGGGAGCCAAUCCCAGAAACCCGAUCGCAGUCCGGAUCGCAGUCUGCAACUCGACUGCGUGAAGUCGGAAUCGCUAGUAAUCGCGGAUCAGCAUGUCGCGUGAAUACGUUCCCGGGUCUUGUACACACUGCCCGUCACACCAUGGAGUGGGUUUUACCAGAAGUAGUUAGCCUAACCGUAAGGAGGGCGAUUACCACGGUAGGAUUCAUGACUGGGGUGAAGUCGUAACAAGGUAA
rnacentral:rRNA from 1 species